GCGCCCGUAGCUCAGUUGGAUAGAGCACCGGAUUUCUAAUCCGGAUGUCGCAGGUUCGAGUCCUGCCGGGCGCGCCA
rnacentral:tRNA from 1 species